rnacentral:lncRNA from 1 species
CCUGCGCAAUCAUGUGAUGCGAUACAUUUUUCAAAUACGUUUUUCAAGACACAGGAGAGGUCAGGUUGAAACAUUACUGAUGUUUCACGUUAAAAAUGGCUCUAAAGAUUGAUGCUAAACAACGUUUGACAUGUUUGAACGAACGUAAAUAGAUAAUUUUUUUUACUUUGCACCGUGACUUCCCCCCGCGCUACUUUUUAGUAGCCUACCGAAGCGCUAACAACUUGGAGUUAUUUGGAUAUCAAUUAUGAACUUUGUUGAAAGAAACCACAUUUGUUGUGGACAUGGGAUUCCUGGAAGUGCCAAUGGAUGAAGAUAAUCAAAGGUAAGGGAUUAUUGACAAUAGUAAUUUUGAUAUUACAUGGUUGCAAGAUGGUGCUAACCUGUAUAGCUUAGCCUAUUUUUCUUAGCACAGCACCCGGUUUAUUGCAAAUUGUGAUUUCCCAGUAAAGUUAUUUUGAAAUCUGGCAAUGCAGUAGCAUUUACGAAAUGUUAAACUAUGAAUAUUUGAAUGACAAUAUUAUAAUUUACCAAUGUUUUCGAAUAGUAAUUUUGUAACGUUGUUCACCGGAAGCAUUUGAGAGAAAGAAAAAAAAUCUGAAUUUCACGCUACUGUAAAAUGCUGUUUUUGGAUAUAAAUAUGAACUUGAUGGAACAAAAAAUGCAUGUAUUGUAUAACAUAAUGUCUUAGGAGUGUCAUCUGAGGAAGAUUGUCAAAGGACCUGAGCCCUAGGACCAUGCCUCAGGACUACCUGGUAUGAUGACUCCUUGCUGUCCCCAGUCCACCUGGCCGUGCUGCUGCUCCAGUUUCAACUGUUCUGCCUGCGGCUAUGGAACCCUGACCUGUUCACCGGACGUGCUUGUUGCACCCUCGACAACUACUAUGAUUAUUAUUAUUUGACCAUGCUGGUCAUUUAUGAACAUUUUAACAUUUUAAUAUUUUGACCAUGUUCUGUUAUAAUAUCCACCCUGCACAGCCAGAAGAGGACUGGCCACCCCUCAUAGCCUGGUUCCUCUCUAGGUUUCUUGCUAGGUUUUUGGCCUUUCUAGGGAGUUUUUCCUAGCCACCGUGCUUCUUUCACAUGCUUUGCUUGCUGUUUGGGGUUUUAGGCUGGGUUUCUGUACAGCACUUUGAGAAUAUCAGCUGAUGUACGAAGGGCUAUAUAAAAAUAAAUUUGAUUUGAUUUCUGCUUUUUCAUUAGGGGUAUAUUCAUGAGGAAAAAAAAUAUUUAAUCCAUUUUAGAAUAAGGCUGUAACGUAACAAAAUUUGGAAAAAGUAAAGGGUUCUAAAUACUUUCUGAAUGCACUGUAACUGUAUGAGCUAUGCAACUGUGUAUGACAUUUUCUUACCCCUCUACUAGCUGGCAAGAUGGGGCAGUCCAUUCCCAGAGAGGCAGCCAGAUCUGCAUGCCUUUUUUACUUUGAUACAAUGCGUUGUCAUGCAUUUGUGCAUGCACACUGGUAACUGUCAUAGAUCUCUUUCUAGCUAACUUACCUAGCUCGUCAACCAGUAUUUUCUUUGCUAUUUCUGCAGGAUGGCACUUAUUAAAGCCUUGAAUUGCAUAGGGACUUCACUGUCACCAUCGUUUUCCAUUGGACUAGAGUUAGCUAUGCUGGCUGGCUAGGUAGCUAACGCUAGCUGCCUAACGUGAACUAAUUAUCAUGUAGCAGUUUACGCUGACUAGCUAGCUAAUGUCGAUACACCAUAGUCGUGGGUCCGCAAAAUUAAACAAAUGUUACUGAACUCAUGAAAAAAAUAAUGUUUUGUUUGUUUGUUUUUGUUUAGUGACAUUGCUAAUAUAAUCUUUUUGGCAUUUAACUACCGUUAUGUAUCUAAUCCGGUUUCACCAUGAGAAAAUGUAUGAAGUCCCAAAUUCCUACAAAAUACUGCAAUAAUUUGCUCACUCACGGAUACGGAGCCUCAGAAAUAUAAGAUCCGUUCAUAGAUUAGGAGCCACUCCUUAUUUAAUAAUGUAUUUGUGCUGGGGCCAGGGGGAAAAAAAAGUGGUUUUGUUUCAUCAUAGUUGUUUAGCCUACGCUGGCCACUUACAUAGCUUUCACUAUGUAGGAUUGAUCCAGUAUAACUCUUUUAUACAGAUUUUCACUUUGUGAAAGUGAAUCAUAACACAGUUCAUCAUAAAGCAAUUAAUUUCACGCAGAUGUAGUUGAAAGGAUAAAAGAAGUGGGGGUAUAAAUGAAAAGAUUAACAACGUGCUUGACUCCAUUUUAUAUAAACUCAAAUCAGGUGCUGGAUCCCUGUAUAUAAUCAAAAGAACAGAACUAGGACAGCAGUCUAGUAAAUAAACUUAAAUUGACAUAUUUUCAUUGCCGCAAAAAUGUUUUGGGUAUGAGCCAGUCUUCGGCGUGCUAGGCAAUGGCCAUCAAUGUCACAACAACAAUACCACAAGGUGGGCAUAAUCAUAAAUUCACAGUCAAUAUUGACCCAAUCAAGAGAUCAGCAGAGGGAUUAUUACAGACAGAAAAAGUCCUCAGUUUCAUCAGCUGUCCGGGUGGCUGGUCUCAGGUGAUCCAGAUGUGGAGGUCCUGGCAUGUGAUCUGCAGUAUUUAGUCCGGUUGCACGUACUGCCAAAUUUGGUCAGCACUAUUUAGUCCGGUUGGACGCACUGCCAAAUUCUCUAAAACAACAAUGGAGAUGGCUUAUGGUAGAGAAAUUAACCUGUUAGGGCUAGGGGGCAGUAUUGACACGGCCGGAUAAAAAACGUACCCGAUUUAAUCUGGUUACUACUCCUGCACAGUAACUAGAAUAUGCAUAUAAUUAUUGGCUUUGGAUAGAAAACACCCUAAAGUUUCUAAAACUGUUUGAAUGGUGUCUGAGUAUAACAGAACUCAUAUGGCAGGCAAAAACCUGAGAAGAUUCCAAGCAGGAAGUGGCCUGUCUGACAAGUUCUUGUUCUUCUUGGCUCUGUUUAUUGAAAACUGAGGAUCUUUGCUGUAACGUGACACUUCCUACGGCUCCCAUAGGCUCUCAGAACCCGGGAAAAAGCUGAAUGAUGUAAUUCCAGCCUCUGGCUGAAAAACAUUAGCGCGUUUGGAUAGUGGCCGGUCAGAGUACUAUGAGACUCAGGCUCGGGCACGAGGGGAUCCCAUGCUUUUAUUUUCUCUCUUUGAACGUAAACACGCUUUCCCGGUCGGAAUAUUAUCGCUUUUUUACAAGAAAAAUGGCAUAAAAAUGGAUUUUAAACAGCGGUUGACAUGCUUCGAAGUACGGUAAUGGAAUAUUUAGACAUUUUUUGUCACGAAAUGCGUCGUGCGCGUGAUCCUUACUUACACUUCGGAUAGUGUCUUGAACGCACGAACAAAACGCCGCUAUUUGGAUAUAACUAUGGAUUAUUUUGAACCAAACCAACAUUUGUUAUUGAAGUAGAAGUCCUGGGAGUGCAUUCUGACGAAGAACAGCAAAGGUAAUAACAUUUUUCUUAUAGUAAAUCUGACUUUGGUGAGUGCUAAACUUGCUGGGUGUCUAAAUAGCUAGCCCUGUGAUGCCGGGCUAUCUACUCAGAAUAUUGCAAAAUGUGCUUUCACCGAAAAGCUAUUUUAAAAUCGGACAUAGCGAGUGCAUAGAGGAGUUCUGUAUCUAUAAUUCUUAAAAUAAUUUAUGUUUUUUGUGAACGUUUAUCGUGAGUAAUUUAGUAAAUUCACCGGAAGUUUGCGGGGGGUAUGCUAGUUCUGAACGUCACAUGCUAAUGUAAAAAGCUGUUUUUUUAUAUAAAUAUGAACUUGAAUGAACAAAACAUGCAUGGAUUGUAUAACAUAAUGUCCUAGGUGUGUCAUCUGAUGAAGACAAUCAAAGGUUAGUGCUGCAUUUAGCUGUGGUUUGGGUUUGUGUGACAUUAUAUGCUAGCUUGAAAAAUGGGUGUCUGAUUAUUUCUGGCUGGGUACUCUGCUGACAUAAUCUGUUUUGCUUUCGUUGUAAAGCCUUUUUUGAAAUCGGACAGUGUGGUUAGAUUAACGAGAGUCUUGUCUUUAAAAUGGUGUAAAAUAGUCAUAUGUUUGAGAAAUUGAAGUAAUAGCAUUUCUAAGGUAUUUGAAUAACGCGCCACAGGAUUCCACUGGCUGUUACGUAGGUGGGACGAUUUCGUCCCACCGACCCUAGUUAACAUGUAAUUAUCUGGCAACAACUCUGGUGGACAUUCCUGCAGUCAGCAUACCAAUUACACGCUCCCUCAAAACCUGAGACAUCUGUGGCAUUGUGUUGUGUGAGAAAACUGCACAUUUUAGAGUGGCCUUUUAUUGUCUCCAGCACAAGGUGCACAUGUGUAAUGAUUAUGCUGUUUAAUCAGCUUCUUGAUAUGCCACACCUGUCAGGUGGAUGGAUUAUCUUGGCAAAAGAGAAAUGCUCACUAACAGGGAUGUAAACAAAUUUGAGCAUGACAUUUGAGAAAAAAAUAAGCUUUUUGUGCAGAUGGGAAAGCUAUGGGGUCUUUUAUUUCAGCUCAUGAAACAUGGGACCAACACUUUACAUGUUGCUUUUGUAUUUUUGUUCAGCAUAUAUCAGAAUAUAUACACUAUGCAGAGACUGCAUGCUGAGCCUGAGCAUAGGAAAGAAUAAUUACAAUACGCCCCUCUUUGGCCUCAUGGGUAGAACGUAAUUAAUAUUAACAAUUAAGAUUAUUGAAAAAAAAAAAUGCUGAAAAUUCAGUGGUUCUACGUCAAACAGUUUUGUUAUAUUUCAGUCUUCUGUUAUGUAUAUAAUGUGUAAUAUUGGGAUGCAAACUUAAAAUGGAAUGCAUUUCAACUCAAUAUCUGACAUGAUUUUUUUUUAACCCCAUAACCAUACUUUUCUUUCAAAGUAGAUUUUUUUUUAAAGAUUAACAAGAAUCACUCUGUGUGACCAUAAUUUAGCCCACUGCAGUAAACGGUUAACCCUUGAGUCAGUCUGCAAAUAUUUCUAGGAGGGAAAGUAACAAAACCUUGUGAAGUUGGUUGAACAUUCAAGGCCAUCUAUAGAUGUAACUGCACCAUCAUCGGAGUGAAAGAUGAGUGUCAUACUACUUGUGUGUUUAUUCAUGUGGAAGGUGGAGAGGAGGCAAAAGGAAGGUCUGUCUUGCAGUCAGCCACGGCAGCUUCUUGCCAUGCUUCAGUGUGGUCAUUAACCUUCGUUUUCAGCAUUUCACUUUGUUUUAGAGCGUAUCUUCUACGUGACAGCUUUUCAUUUACAAUUAAUUGCCUGUCACUCAAACUCUCUGGCUUUUGCUAUGUUCACUUUUCGCUUUAGCGUUAUUACAUCCACAGGCAGGCAACUAGCUAACGCUCUGUCAAAAGGAAGGACAGGGCUUAUAUUGGACCUGACCUUUUCCUUCCUUCCAUAAACAACAAACAUGUCUUUACUCCACAAGCAGCAACACUCACUCCCUCAUCUACCUUCACUCCCUCCUUUAUCACAGCUAGCAGCUAUCCUAUGAAACAAAAUAGUCAUAGUUUAAGGCCCCUAAUACUCCUGUGUUAUUGCUGUUAUAUAAGGAAAGCCCCUGAAGCAAGAGUAAAAAUAGAGAUACAGUCAACAUAUGACUGCCAACAAUCUUUUCACACGGAAACAUCUUCCCGUCCUAAUUUAAGCUUGAUGCUUGUCAAGAUUACAUGUGAAUAUUUUUAUAACCCAUUCUCCAUGGUGUUAGGAUCGGUAUGUAAGUAGCAGGCAUCUAUGGGAGACAGUAGAAGGUGUUUGUACUGUGUUCUCCUUUUCUUCCUGGAUUUAGCUGAGAAUAAAUCAGUGGUGUAUAGUAAUAAAGUAAAAAAUUUUGAAGUAUUACUUAAGUCGUUUUUUGGGGUAUCUGUACUUUAUUUAUAUUUUGGGAUACUUUUACUUCACUACAUUCCGAAAGAAAAUGUAUGUUUUACUCCAUACAUUUAAACCUGACACCCAAAAGUAAUCAUUACAUUUUAAAUGCUUAGCAGAACAGGAAAAUGGUACAAUUCACACACUUAUCAAGAGAAGCUCCCUGGUCAUCCCUACUGCCUCUGAUCUGGCAGACUGACUAGACACACAUGCUUUGUUUGUAAAUGAUGCCUGAGUGUGCCCCUAGCUACCCAUCAAUAAAUAAAAAAAGAAUGGCGCCGUCUGGUUUGCAUAAUAUGGCGAUUUUGAAAUGAUUUAUACUUUUACUUUUGAUACUUAAGUAUAUUUUAGCAAUUACACUUACUUUUUAUACUUUAAGUAUAUUUAAAACCAAAUACUUGUAGACUUUUACACAAGUCAUAUUUUACUGUGUGACAUUCACUUUUACUUGAAUCAUUUUCUCUUGAAGUACACUACAUGACCAAAAGUAUGUGGACACCUGCUCAUCAAACAUCUCAUUCCAAAAGCAUGGGCAAUAAUAUGGAUUUGGUCCCCCUUUGCUGCGAUAACAUCUUCCACUCUUCUGGGAAGGCUUUCCAGUAGAUGCUGUAACAUUGCUCCGGGUACUUGCUUCCAAUCAGCCACGAGCAUUAUGUUGGACGAUUAGGCCUUGCUCGCAGUCGGCGUUCCAACUUAUCCCAAAGGUGUUCGAUGGGGUUGAAGUCAGGGCUCUGUGCAGGUCAGUCAAGAUCUUCCACACCGAUCUCGACAAACCAUUUCUGUAUGGACCUCACUUUGUGCAUGAGGGCAUUGCCAUGCUGAAUCAGAAAAAGGCCUUCCCCAAACUGUUGCUGCAAAGUUGGAAGCACAAAAUCGCCUAGAAUAUCAUUGUAUGCUGUAGCGUUAAAAUAUCCCUUCACUGGAACUAAGGGGCCUAGCCCAAAGCAUAACACAUAGCACUAUACGAUUAUUUUACUUCUACUACACUUUACAGUUGGCACUAUGCAUUCAGGCAGGUCAAAUUCUGCUGGCAUCCACCAAACCCAGAUUUGUCUGUUGGACAGGCAGAUGGUGAAGUGUGAUUCAUCACUCCAGAGAAUGCGUUUCCACUGCUCCGGAGUCCAAUGGCGGCGAGUUUUACACCACUCCAGCCGACGCUUGGCAUUGCGCAUGGUGAUCUUAGGCUGCACGGCCAUGAAAACUAAUUUAAUGAAGCUCCCGACAAACAGUUCUUGUGCUGACAUUGCUUCCAGAGGCAGUUUGGAACUCGGUAGUGAGUGUUGCAAUUGAGGACAGACAAUUUUUACGCACUACAACUCUCGGCGACCCUGUUCUGUGCGCUUGUGUGGCCUACUACUUUGCGGCUGAGCUGUUGUUGCACCUGGAUGUUUCCACUUCAAAAUAACAGCACUUACAGCUGACCAGGGAAGCUCUAUCAGGGCAGAAAUUUAACAAACUGACUUGUUGGAAAGGUGGCAUCCUAUGAUGGUGCCACGUUGACAGUAAGGCAAUUAUACUGUUAAUGUUUGUCUAUAGAGAUUGCAUGGCUGUGUGCUUGAUUUUAUACACCUGCCAGCAACGGCUGUGACUGAAAUAGCCAAAUCCACUCAUUUGAAGUGGUGUUCACAUACUUUUGUAUAUAUAGUGUUUCUUUACUUUUACUCAAGUAUGACAAUUAAAUAUUUUUUCCACCACUGAAAUACAUGAAUGGCAUUUAUCUUUCAUAUACAAGUCUCGCCUCCCCUGGAUUGUGUUGGUGUUGUCAGCGGCAACGGCUGUCAUCCCUCACCUCCUGUUCCCCUGUGUGACGAUGUGUCAGUUCCUGUCAAACUGCAUUCAAUCAGACGAGGCCUUUAAGCACAUCAUCACCCCAAGUGUUUGUUUUCCCAUUUCUGGUACAGUCAGCCAAGUUUUUACUGAUGUAAGGUGAGACAAUGUGAUUUGAAAUGAUGUCAAUGCUGUAAUAUGAACAAGUCCAAUAUAAUUCUACACUUUGGAAUAAAACAAAUGGUUAUUAACAACAGGAUAUGGAGGCAUCUCAUUAUUACAGAACACUGUUUUAAAAUGGC